rnacentral:ncRNA from 1 species
UUGAGCCGUAUGCGUCGUGAGGCGCACGUACUGUUCUUAGGGGGCUGGGCGCUGGCAACCGCGUCUAGCUACCUGAC